rnacentral:misc_RNA from 1 species
AAGUCGUAACAAGGUAACCGUAGGUGAACCUGCGGUUGGAUCAUUAACAAUUAUUAUUGAGCUCUUCCCUCCCCCUUCACCGGGGGGGCGGUAGGUUCUCUAACACUUGUGUGCACUGUUUAUUGUCUCUCGGCGUUUCGAGGGUUGGGUAUCGGAGUUUUCUGGUGCCCUUUGGGCCUUGACCUACCCCUGAGCGCCAAUUUUUAAACUUGAUUUUAUAUAUACUAUAAGCCUUUAAUUUUAAAUUUAUAAUUUGAAAACAACUUUUAACAACGGAUCUCUAGGCUCUCA